UUGGCUCGCAAUUGCACCAUCGCGGAGAAUUGAGAGUGUCCGGGGACCCAACAGUGUGCGUCAUCGACAAAAUCUCUUCAAAUUAUCUGAUGACAAUUUUCGAUAUAAAUAUCGAUUUAUGUUUUUCGAAAUAAUAGUCAAUUGAAUGCAUGAUGAUAAUCCAUGAUGAUCCUAUGAUGCUCAACUGGGCUCGCCAUAAGAUUCAAGACUAUUUUGGCGUUUUGCACGCCGUAUCCAGCCAGUAAUAUGCAAUGUUUAUAAAAGACUGGAAGCUUGCUAAAAUGUAGGUACAAAAAUGCCAAGAUGAGCAAGGGAACAAGAUUGUGUGAUGAAGAACAGUGUUCAACAUGUAUCAGUGCGUUUGACUGUAUAAAUAGACAUCGGAAUAAAAUAUAAUUUUGUACUUU
rnacentral:lncRNA from 1 species